rnacentral:misc_RNA from 1 species
UUGUGGAGGAGGACGCCGAAGGUGGGGCUAAUGACUGGGGUGAAGUCGUAACAAGGUAGCCGUACCGGAAGGUGCGGCUGGAUCACCUCCUAACAGGGAGACAACAAGAUGUUUAAUAUUAUUAUUUUGUCACCUUAGGUCGAUCGGUAUCUCACAUUCUUAAUUUAUUAAGGAUUUUAUUUCCUAAGUUUUUUCUAGGUCACACCCAUUACUUUUCCUGGGCCAUUAGCUCAGGUGGUUAGAGCGCACCCCUGAUAAGGGUGAGGUCCCUGGUUCAAGUCCAGGAUGGCCCAUAUCUCUAUGUUGGGGGUAUAGCUCAGUUGGUAGAGCGCCUGCUUUGCAAGCAGGAUGUCAGCGGUUCGAGUCCGCUUACCUCCACUGAUUACCACCUCUUCCAUAAUCUUUAGAAAGGAAAUUUUUUGAGUUGUGAUCAAAUUCUGAACGAAUCUAGCUUCCUAAUGUAAUCAUUAAGAUGCUGGACUCAUUGAAUUUAAUUCAUUGUUUUCAGAGAACCUUGACAACUGCAUAGAUUAUUUUUAAAGACAAUAAGCAUCUUUAAUGAUGCAGAUUUAUUAUUUGUGCGAAUGCAUUAAAUAACAAUUCUAUUAAGCUGAUGCUUCAAUUUUGAAGUUAUUGGUCAAGCUACAA